rnacentral:rRNA from 1 species
UACGUAGGGACCAAGCGUUGUUCGGAUUUACUGGGCGUAAAGGGCGCGUAGGCGGCGUGGUAAGUCACUUGUGAAAUCUCUGAGCUUAACUCAGAACGGCCAAGUGAUACUGCUGUGCUAGAGUGCAGAAGGGGCAAUCGGAAUUCUUGGUGUAGCGGUGAAAUGCGUAGAUAUCAAGAGGAACACCUGAGGUGAAGACGGGUUGCUGGGCUGACACUGACGCUGAUGCGCGAAAGCUAGGGGAGCAAACGGG